GAAUUCAACUCCUACGGGAGGCAGCAGUGGGGAAUCUUCCGCAAUGGACGAAAGUCUGACGGAGCAACGCCGCGUGAGUGAUGAAGGUCUUCGGAUUGUAAAGCUCUGUUAAUCGGGACGAAAGAGUUCUGUGUGAAUAAUGCAGAAAAGUGACGGUACCGGAAUAGAAAGCCACGGCUAACUACGUGCCAGCAGCCGCGGUAAUACGUAGGUGGCAAGCGUUGUCCGGAAUUAUUGGGCGUAAAGCGCGCGCAGGCGGCCUAUCCAGUCUGUCUUAAAAGUUCGGGGCUCAACCCCGUGAUGGGAUGGAAACUAGUAGGCUAGAGUAUCGGAGAGGAAAGCGGAAUUCCUAGUGUAGCGGUGAAAUGCGUAGAUAUUAGGAAGAACACCAGUGGCGAAGGCGGCUUUCUGGACGAAAACUGACGCUGAGGCGCGAAAGCCAGGGGAGCGAACGGGAUUAGAAACCCGUGUAGUCCAGGCGUU
rnacentral:rRNA from 1 species